AUUGAACGCUGGCGGCAGGCCUAACACAUGCAAGUCGAACGAGUGGCGGACGGGUGAGUAAUGUCUGGGACUCUGCCUGAUAGAGGGGGAUAACUACUGGAAACGGUCGCUAAUACCGCAUACUCUCGGAUGUACCCAUAUGGUAUUCGUUAGUAGGAGGGGUAAAGGCUCACCUAGGCGACGAUCACUAGCUGGUCUGAGAGGAUGACCAGCCACACGGGAACUGAGACACGGUCCAGACUCCUACGGGAGGCAGCAGUGGGGAAUAUUGCACAAUGGGCGCAAGCCUGAUGCAGCCAUGCCGCGUGUAUGAAGAAGGCCUUCGGGUUGUAAAGUACUUUCAGCGGGGAGGCGUUACCCGCAGAAGAAGCACCGGCUAACUCCGUGCCAGCCGCCGCGGUAAUAC
rnacentral:rRNA from 1 species